CUUGUUCAGAAGGGCACUUUGGGGGUUUUUAGCAGUGUUUUCUGGCCCCUCCCCAGCUCGGGUGCUUCUGGGUCUCGUUUCAGCUUCAAAAACUCUUUAUUGCUCCUGUUUGCAGAAGAGAGAGUGAAGGGAACAGGGUGAUCAGGCCUUUUCCUCCUUCUCACGUGUCUUGGUGGAAUGAAGAGGGAGCUGCUUGGGAAGGAGCUGGAGUCACACGGUCCUGAUAGAGCAGGAGUGGGAGAGAAAAUAAACAUAAAUUAUCCUGGAAUCAUGGAAUGGUUUGGGUUGGAAGGGACCUCAAAGAUCAUCUAGUUCCACCUGCACAGGCAGGGACACCUCCCACCAGCCCAGGCUGCUCCAGGCCCCAUCCAACCUGCCCUUCAACCCUGCCAGGGCUGGGGCAGCCACAGCUUCCCUGGGCAGCCUGUUCCAGGGUCUCUAAAUUCCUGCACUUCACCCAUUUUCAUUUGGCUUCCGUAGGAAACGAGGCAGAAAUUUUUCCCCUUCUCCAACCCCCCCCCCCCCCCAGCCCUCCCCUGAUCCUUUCAGAUCCAUUUUCACAGCAAGAUGUAGAUGGAGUGAAGGAUCUCACAGCAAGAACCUCCAAGUUCUGGGUGAAAGCAGCUGGUGAGAGAAGAGAGGAGCAGCAGGUGACUUGGUCUCUCUCUGCCUUCCUUUGCCAAGCUCAGGAUGGGUUUGUCAUUCCCUCCAGGACCCUCCCCUGCACCUUUUGCAUCCUGGUUUCUUCUCUUUCUCCCCAGAACCUUCCACAGCAGCACACAGGAAAGGCACCACCUCCUUUUCUCAUUAAAAAGGAGGGAAGGAUUCACUGCCCUCCCUUCUCCAGA